CUGAAAACAUCAAUUCAAGAAAUAUGAAUUUCUUCACCAUUGUUCAUUCUUUGAAGUAUUCUUUGACUUUUCUUCUUGUUGCAAUUUCAAGGCUGCUUUGUUGGUGGAACCUGCAAAGAUGGUGAUUGUGGUUUAAAAGCUGAGUUUGGGUGUUGCGGAAAAAGAUAAGGAUGAGGCCCUAUAAUGGAAGAAGAAUGAUGAGUCUACAUCAGAGAAACUGUAACUGGGUUCAAAGGACGACGAGGCGAACGUGACAAAGAGUAACCCAUAAGAGGUACAAACACAGGUGUUGGGAGUCCGCCAGCUUAGGAUUCCACUGAGCCAGUUUGGAAGGAACUCUAUUGAUUCGGAGCCCAGUUGUAGUACCAAACCUCCUAUAUAUAUUUAUUUAUUCAGGGGUACGGCGAGAGCCCUGUCCCGCCAUAUGUUACUAUUAAUAUUCUUAGAGGUCUAUAGACAUAUGUAUGGGUUAUACAUGUAAGUUCUAUUCAGUUAUGCCUACAUGAUGUAUUGUAAAUAUUAAGGUACUAGGCAGCCUUGUCGGCUUGCUCGCCCUUUCAUGUUAAGAUACAAAUGAAAGAGUCUACAAGUAUGAAAAUGCUAGGACCCAUUGGGGUUCUUAUGGAUAGUUCUUAUAUUGAUCGUUACA